ACAGAAUUAGCGAGCCCAACUUCCACUAUCUACAUUCGACAAUUACAAAGCAGUCCGAAUGGGGGGUUAGCUAUGAAAGGGAUAAGGACUCGAAACUCCUUCUUUGCCUCAAACGAGCGGGUCGAAACGACAUGGCCGAGUCUCACUUCCUGUCCGAGUCCGGAUCACCGAUUUCUCUUGGGCGGAUUUAUGAUCUUCUCCUCUCAGUCGGUUAUGCCGACGCCGUUAAAACCGAUAUAUCUGCCUCCGAAAAGCUCUGUUCAGGCAUCGUCUGGUGCAUCGCUGCCGUUAACGACGAAACCCUAACACACUUGGAGGAAAUUGAGAUUGAAAAUCGCAUUGAGGAAGCUCUGAGGUUAAUCGGUUGCCCACACCAUGUUAAAGCUUCUCAAAUUGAAGUUCUAGACUUCAAAGCCAUUUUUCCCGUCGUACAGUGGCUUGUUAAUCGUGUUAGGACCUUACAAGAUGAUGACAGGGAUCAUGAGAAUCAACAAGAGCUCGGGCUCGAUGUUAUGAACAAAAUUAAACUUCUACGAGAGAGAAUAGAUAAGGAGGGUGCUAAUAUUGCUGUGCAGAAAUUGAUACCACUUUUGGGAUCGUUAAAGAAUCUGGAAAUUCAAGAAUCUGAAUUCCAGUCCAAUUGUAAUGUAAAACGCUCGGAACUGCAAGCUGAUGUUAUUGAAUUGGAGGGAAGAAUAGCAAGUGACUGGGAUGGCAAGAUUCCCUCUGAUAGUCUCAAUCAUUCUUUGGUUGAAUCUUUGGAGGAACUGCAUGCAGCAAAAAAGGAACUUGCAGCUAGAUGUAGGGCAAUUAUUGCUGUGAAGCGGCAGCUUGAUGACGUGCCAUCCCAAUCGGAACUCAUCCAGUAUGAACGCCGAUUUUCGGAGCUGUAUGUCCAUAUCCAGAAAAAACAUCGCCAAACUCGUAAAAAUUAUGGUACCUAUAAUGCUCUUUUGGAGAUAAAAGAACUGAUGCUAAAGGAAACAUCCUUAUUGAAUUCAAUAAGUUCCCAGUUCCAAGAAGCCAUUACUAAUGCUGAUGGUCGCAAGAAACUUAUUGAUUCCAUGGAGGGAAUUGUGAAGACCAUUCAACAGAAACAAGAAAAGGUCCAACUUGGGUUUCAAGAAGAGCAGAAGGUUUGUGAUGCUCUCAAACAGCAAAAUGCUGCUGCUUCUGCAGAGCAAAGACGCUGUUACACGCUGUUAAAAGCUUUCCAGGAGGAAUGCGCAAAGAAUGAAAAACUGCGCUGCCAAAGUUCUACAUAAUGCUUACCUGUUGUGUCAAGCAAGAGGAGGUGAUUAGUAUUGCAGGUCAAAUUUCUAUGCGCAGAGCAACCCAGCCAUUUGUCUCCAAGCGUCCAGUGUGAGCACCAGCCAAUGAACGGCACCCAUCCACACUCGGUGUUCAAAUGCCCAAACAAUCCGUGUAAGGACAAUUUUAGAUUGGCAAUAGGUGUAGGCAAUGUAGGACCACCACCCAUGUGUCCUGCAUUCUCCUAUUAAAUCGAAAACUUCAGAAGGCAUACAUAAAUGGCUAAUAUACGUGGAGAUUUCUCCGUAUCAAUUAUUUGAAACUUCACAAGAAUAUUAUUGGACUGAUAUUUAUCUAUAAACAA